rnacentral:rRNA from 1 species
CUAGUAGGCGGUUUGUUAAGUCGGUUGUGAAAUCCCAAAGCUCAACUUUGGAAUUGCAGCCGAUACUGGCAAACUUGAGUAUGGUAGAGGGAAGUGGAAUUCCGGGUGUAGCGGUGAAAUGCGUAGAUAUCCGGAGGAACACCAGUGGCGAAGGCGACUUCCUGGGCCAAUACUGACGCUGAGGUGCGAAAGCGUGGGGAGCAAACAGGAUAGAUACCCUGGUAGUCC